rnacentral:rRNA from 1 species
UACGUAGGGUGCAAGCGUUGUCCGGAAUUAUUGGGCGUAAAGAGCUCGUAGGCGGUUUGUCGCGUCGAAUGUGAAAACCCGGGGCUCAACCCCGGGCCUGCAUUCGAUACGGGCAGACUAGAGUUCGGUAGGGGAGUCUGGAAUUCCUGGUGUAGCGGUGAAAUGCGCAGAGAUCAGGAGGAACACCUGUGGUGUAGACAGCUUACUGGACGAUAACUGACGCUGAGGCACGAAAGCGUGGGUAGCAAACAGG